rnacentral:rRNA from 1 species
UACGAAGGGGGCUAGCGUUGCUCGGAAUGACUGGCGUAAAGGGCGCGUAGGCGGAUGGCACAGUCAGAUGUGAAAUUCCCGGCUUAACCUGGGGCUGCAUUUGAUACGUGUUGUCUUGAGUUCGGAAGAGGGUCGUGGAAUUCCAGUGUAGAGGUGAAAUUCGUAGAUAUUGGAAGAACACCGGUGGCGAAGGCGGCGACCUGGUCCGACACUGACGCUGAGGCGCGAAGCGUGGGAGCAAACAGG